AGAAGGACAGAAAUCAUGUCUAUCUCUUGAGUCUGGGGCUCUGAAAGCAUCUUCUCUCUCAGCUUCUGUCUGUAAAGCUUCUAGAACUUUCAGAGUUGUGCUUAUUUUUGCGAAUGGCCUGGACUGUGUUCGUGAUGGUAUUUUAUUUGGGAGACUGAAAGGUAGGUGGCAAAUAAAAGGACACGAGGUUUGAGAGGUCCCAAUUAGACCAAUGGAUAUAGAAAAAACAGAUUGGCUGUGUUCCUAUUUCCCACAAGAUGCACAACUGCAGGCACCAGGAAGGUGGAACUAAAACACUCAACAGUGACCAAAAGGGAAAUGUCUUGUUUGUGGAAUGGGCAGGAGCAGAAAAUGUAAAUGGGAUCGGCAUACAUGGUCAGUGCCUGGGUUUGUUCGCAAAAACUGUGCAGAUGGAAAGAACCUAAUUCAGUUCAAGAUACUACACUUAUCAUCUUUCUGAAGACUAGAAUUCAGCAGAAAAGAUUGAUAAAUGCACAGGAAAGAAGCUUAAUAAAGGAUGCAUGACCAAG